rnacentral:lncRNA from 1 species
CAAAAAGCAGGCCCGCGAGCAGAGCGCGGCCGCGACGGGCAGAGCCGGCCGUUGGAUUGCUGCCUUUUUUUGGUCUCGCAAAAAAGAGGACCAAUCGUAAAAGAGGAUAAAAAGAAGGCGUCAAAAAAAGGCGCAAGGGCACGGGAACCGACUUUGGGCGCGCCUUGCACGCGGUCAUUUGUUGCGAGGUACCACCAAAACCCACCCGUCUCUGGCGCUGCUCUCUGCCGCCGCGCCAACGAAAAACGCGACCACCGACUCUUACGGGAG